rnacentral:rRNA from 1 species
GACGAACGCUGGCGGCGUGCCUAAUACAUGCAAGUAGAACGCACAGUUUAUACCGUAGCUUGCUACACCAUAAACUGUGAGUUGCGAACGGGUGAGUAACGCGUAGGUAACCUGCCUGGUAGCGGGGGAUAACUAUUGGAAACGAUAGCUAAUACCGCAUAAUAUUGAUUAUUGCAUGAUAAUUGAUUGAAAGAUGCUAUUGCAUCACUACCAUAUGGACCUGCGUUGUAUUAGCUAGUAGGUGAGGUAACGGCUCACCUAGGCGACGAUACAUAGCCGACCUGAGAGGGUGAUCGGCCACAAUGGGACUGAGACACGGCCCAGACUCCUAAGGGAGGCAGCAGUAGGGAAUCUUCGGCCAUGGACGAAAGUCUGAACGAGCAACGCCGCGGGAGUGAAGAAGGUUUUCGGAUCGUAAAGCUCUGUUGUAAGAGAAGAACGGGUGUGAGAGUGGAAAGUUCACACUGUGACGGUAUCUUACCAGAAAGGGACGGCUAACUACGUG